GGAAUAUUGCACAAUGGGCGCAAGCCUGAUGCAGCCAUGCCGCGUGUGUGAAGAAGGCCUUCGGGUUGUAAAGCACUUUCAGUCGUGAGGAAGGUUUAUGCGUUAAUAGCGUAUAGAUUUGACGUUAGCGACAGAAGAAGCACCGGCUAACUCCGUGCCAGCAGCCGCGGUAAUACGGAGGGUGCGAGCGUUAAUCGGAAUUACUGGGCGUAAAGCGCAUGCAGGUGGUUUGUUAAGUCAGAUGUGAAAGCCCGGGGCUCAACCUCGGAAUAGCAUUUGAAACUGGCAGACUAGAGUACUGUAGAGGGGGGUAGAAUUUCAGGUGUAGCGGUGAAAUGCGUAGAGAUCUGAAGGAAUACCGGUGGCGAAGGCGGCCCCCUGGACAGAUACUGACACUCAGAUGCGAAAGCGUGGGGAGCAAACAGGAUUAGAAACCCCGGUAGUCC
rnacentral:rRNA from 1 species